rnacentral:rRNA from 1 species
AUUGAACGCUGGCGGCAGGCUUAACACAUGCAAGUCGAGCGAGCGGCGGACGGGUGAGUAAUGUCUGGGAAACUGCCUGAUGGAGGGGGAUAACUACUGGAAACGGUAGCUAAUACCGCAUACCAUCAGAUGUGCCCAGAGGGGAUUAGCUAGUAGGUGGGGUAAUGGCUCACCUAGGCGACGAUCCCGAGCUGGUCUGAGCGGAUGCCCAGCCACACUGUAACUGAUACAUGGUCCAGAGUCCUACGGGAGGCAGCAGUGGGAAUUAUUGCACAAUGGGCGCAAGCCUGAUGCAGCCAUGUCGCGUGUGUGAAGAAGGCCUUCGGGUUGUAAACCACUUUCAGCGCGGAUGCGUUACUCGAAGAAUAAGCACCGGCUAACUCCGUGCCAGCAGCCGCGGUAAUUC